ACGACCUUACUUGAACAGGAUCUGUUCUAUAGGCUCGUACCGCUGCAUCCUUUACCAAUAAGGAGGCAAGCACUUCAGUCUGGUUGAUGUACUCUGACCUCUGGGCCAGAGCGUGAUUAACGGCUAGGAUUGCUCUUGAUGGAUCAAUCCGACGGCUGUAGAUGAUCGUUCCUGUCUGGCUCUGGCUUGCACAGGGUGGCCCAGAGGUUGUCUGACAGACU
rfam:Triticum aestivum genome assembly, contig: Triticum_aestivum_CS42_TGACv1_scaffold_640849_T_5BL-0.158202_4BL-0.109967